GAUGAACGCUGGCGGCGUGCCUAAUACAUGCAAGUCGAGCGAACAGACGAGGAGCUUGCUCCUCUGACGUUAGCGGCGGACGGGUGAGUAACACGUGGAUAACCUACCUCUAAGACUGGGAUAACUUCGGGAAACCGGAGCUAAUACCGGAUAAUAUAUCGAACCGCAUUGUUCAAUAGUUAAAGUCGGUUUUUCUGUCACUUAUAGAUGGCUCCGCGCCGCAUUAGCUAGUUGGUAAGGUAACGGCUUACCAACGCAACGAUGCGUAGCCGACCCGAGGGGGUGGUCGGCCACACGGGAAGUGAGACACGGUCCAGACUCCGACGGGAGGAAGCAGUAGGGAAUCUUACGCGAUGCGCGAAAGGGUGACGGAGCAACGCCGCGUGAGUGAUGAAGGUCUUCGGCUGGUAAAACUCUGUUAUUAGGGAAGAAGAAAUGUGUAAGUAACUAUGCACGUAUUGACGGUACCUAAUCAGAAAGCCACGGCUAACUCCGUG
rnacentral:rRNA from 1 species